GGAAUAAAAGUCGUAACAAGGUUUCCGUAGGUGAACCUGCGGAAGGAUCAUUAUCGAGCCGCUGACGCGGGUCCACGGUGUUUCGAUGCCGUUGGAUCUCGUUGGCAAAAGGCCCAACCCUUGCUUCUUGACCACUAUUGUCUCGGCGGUGCCGUGUCUUUUUAGGCCGGCCAGAUAGGGGAUUCGCGAAUUCCUUCGGGUCUGUGCCCGCCAGAGAAUCAAUAAAAACCGAUUAUUAUGUAGUCUAAGAUUUAAAUAAUCAAAUAAAACUUUCAACAACGGAUCUCUUGGUUCCG
rnacentral:misc_RNA from 1 species